GUUUACGCAGCCAUUGUUCGCGCGUCGCCGCCGGCUUUGUCGUGAUCAAGGGUAGUGAUUGUGGUGUGCAUUUGUGGACGAAGAAUGACUAAAACGAAGAGCCAUAAGGCCAUUGGUGAUGCGGUUUGGCUGGCAAGGCUGCGGCUGUUUGCCAGCAGAGGAGUGUGGGCGGCGGACAUGGGCAUCAGACCUGGCCCCAAGCAGUCAAGGACAGUCCGUGACCUGUACCUCAAGGUCCAGCGUUGCCCUCGCCAGGGUGGUGGGACACAGGCUAUGCUGUCCUUUGCUGGAAGGUCUGCCCUUAGCCGAGGCUGUCAGUGUGGCCUGCAUAAGGCAAACGCAUCUUCAUCGAUACCUUCGUCACAUUUCCUACCACGUUAUCCUGCCAUGGCAAUGGUGUCCCUGCAAAAGUGCAUGCUUUGCAAUACGUAAUCCUGGUUCCUGGAUGCUUGAUUGCUUUGAGGGUGUGCGGGAGAUGGUUUUCUGCUGGCAAUAUACAUGGCUAAUUUGACGUGAUGGGCUGCCUGGCACAUGGUGUGAUUGGUAACACUGUCCUGUUAAUGACAUGCUUGGUGACUGGCACACGAAGCACGGACUUCGAUGUUGUUUUUUCCUUAUGUUGUUGCCAUGUGCUGAACCGCGUUACAGGCAUUGACGCCAUGACAUGGUGUAACAAACUUGCAAAGAUCGUGGAAUGCUACAUUCUAAAGGUUAAGGGUGGUUUUGAAGGCAAAGUUUUUAUACUUGGCCGUAUUGCUUAGCCAUACUCGCUGUACCUGGUUGUACCUGGUUGUACCGGGCUAAACCCGUCCCAUACCGGGUAGCCAGAGCUCGUCACGACGGGACACAGUAGUUCUGAUCUUUCUCCUAAUUAUCCUUUUACCGGACGAACGUAAUACUACAUGAACCUUGUAUAUUACGAAAUUUUGACGGUACGAACUUAAUGUCCAUGAGAUUCCAUGCCUCAGCACGGUUCAGCAUAUGGUGGUUUGUGUCUACCGAAGCACCAUGUUGGUUUUGCUUGGCUGGCUGCAUUUGCCUAGAAAGGAAUAACGUGCUACUUGCGCGCCUGGUCACGAUGUAAACUGUGCACAAUGCACGUGCCGGACUUGCUGACGAGACCAGACAAUAUUACCCUGCAUUUGCCCCACGUUGAUGUGCACCAUGGUCGGCUUGGCGCCUGCUUGUGCUUGGCAUGUUUGGUGGACGGUCGCAUCCUGGCAAAAAUUGCGUCCUUGAUGCUUCCUCACCACAGACGCUUCCUUAGGAUCCCCAGGAUAGGCAGGGUAUCCAGCGUCUGCGGCAGUAUGCUGAGACUGGUCGGCUGUCGUCCCUCUCGCCGCGGCUCAGCAACAUCCGACCGAAUCUG